rnacentral:lncRNA from 1 species
AGAGGAUGAAGAAUUAUUCAAGCUGCUCCAUCUUUGUUUCCUAGGUUAGAUCUUAGGGGUCCAUCCAGAUGUUCCAUAAGCACAGUGGAGUAAGUAGCCCUGUGUGCAGUGUGAUUGGAGGGCUAUUAGCUGGCUUUAGAUUCCCACUGGGUUAGAUUGCAGAUGGAGAGGCUGGAGGGAUUGUUCCCUAAAGACCAUUAGCUUUUCAACCUUCAAUAUUUGAUCAA